rnacentral:rRNA from 1 species
AUACGGAGGGUGCAAGCGUUGUCCGGAUUUAUUGGGUUUAAAGGGUGCGUAGGCGGAUCUUUAAGUCAGUGGUGAAAUCCUGCAGCUUAACUGUAGAACUGCCAUUGAUACUGGAGAUCUUGAGUAUACUAGAGGUAGGCGGAAUUUAUGGUGUAGCGGUGAAAUGCAUAGAUACCAUAAAGAACACCAAUAGCGUAGGCAGCUUACUGGAGUAUAACUGACGCUGAGGCACGAAAGCAUGGGUAGCGAACAGGAUUAGAAACCCUAGUAGUCC